UACGUAGGCAGCAAGCGUUGUUCGGAGUUACUGGGCGUAAAGAGUGUGUAGGCGGUGCUCUAAGUUUGGUGUGAAAUCUCCCGGCUCAACUGGGAGGGUGCGCCGAAGACUGGAGUGCUUGAGUAUGGGAGAGGAAAGCGGAAUUCCUGGUGUAGCGGUGAAAUGCGUAGAUAUCAGGAGGAACACCUGCGGUGUAGGCGGCUUUCUGGACCAUCACUGACGCUGAGACACGAAAGCGUGGGUAGCAAACAGG
rnacentral:rRNA from 1 species